AUUUAUAAUAGCCAGAAGCUGGUGAAAGACCCCCGAAGGGAGACCCUCACUCAAGCCUCGGGACAGCCGCGGACCCAAGAAGACACUGAGACCG
rnacentral:pre_miRNA from 7 species